rnacentral:rRNA from 1 species
GACGAACCGUCCAAACGUUAUUCGGAAUCACUGGGCUUACAGAGUUCGUAGGCGGUCUGGAAAGUUUGGGUGUGAAAUCCCUCGGCUCAACCGAGGAACUGCGCUUGAAACUACCAGACUCGAGGGAGAUAGAGGAAAGCGGAACUGAUGGUGGAGCGGUGAAAUGCGUUGAUAUCAUCAGGAACACCGGUGGCGAAGGCGGCUUUCUGGGUCUUACCUGACGCUGAGGAACGAAAGCCAGGGGAGCGAACGGG